rnacentral:tRNA from 1 species
GCCGGAAUGAUGGAAUGGUAGACAUAGGGGACUCAAAAUCCCCCGUCCGCAAGGACGUGUGGGUUCGAAUCCCACUUCCGGCACCA